rnacentral:SRP_RNA from 1 species
GCCGGGUGUGGUGACUCACACCUGUAAUCCCAGCACUUUGGGAGGCGGAGAUGGGCGGAUCACCUGAGGUCAGGAGUUCGAGACCAGCCUGGCCAACAUGGUGAAACCCCGUCUCAA